UGAACCUCAGCCACAGCUAUUCUUUGUUCCGAGAGCUACAGUGCUUGCUGGGAAGUCUGAGAGGCUUUGUAGUGGUUGUGCUCACAUUAGCAAGCAGCAAGGUGCAGCAGGGGCAGAUGUGGGGAAUGCAACAGUUGGUGCCAAUCUGCUAUGUGCAUUCGGGGGGAUCCACUAGCUAUGAUCUGGCCCCAUGGCUUGGAACAUUCAGUAGCAACUGGGACAGCUAGGUGAAUUUUUGGAGCACAUCUUGUCAUUUAGGUUUGUCUGAAAGGAAUCUAGUUCUGCAGCAUGGAUCUACAUGCAGUAAGGUCAGGUGUCUCCUUGGAGGGGCUGUCCUAGCCUUAAGUAAAACACAAGCCCAUACAAAUGGAAAGGAGUCUGGAGGAAGCCCAUCAGACCUGCGUCUCAUUGUUGGAAAAUGGCUAAGGAAAGUUAACCUGAACAUGCACAGCCUGUUUUGUUUUGUUUUGUUUUAUAACGUGUUUGCUCUGAAAUGCAUUUUGUUCCAGGGGAGUUCUACUUUGCAAUCAGGAAGUUGCUUGUUCUGUGAUGAGCCCUGCUGCUGCCCCAGAGGGAGGGGAUGGCACUGUCUGGACGGACUUCAGGUCUACUGAAGGAACUCGCUUUUGGUACUCCACCCAAGAUCCAGUCUACAACUGGAAAAGUUGCCUGAUUCCCACUGUAGACUGAGAUUUAGGAGCCAAGAGAUGAUGUGCAUGUGGGGCACGUCAGACUGGUAGUGUAGUUCACCCUGCAUCCGUGACAAGUUUCCAACCUCCCGUUGGCAGGAAGAUGUGCAGGAUGGUACAGAGACUGGACACAGCUUUCCAGCAGACACUCACUGGUGCCAUGAACGAGAAGGAACGCUCGCUGCUGGUGUUUGUGACUGUUUCUGUGGAGGGAUCAGAGGAGUCCUUUUAUGCAGUUUGUGCUUAUCCUCUAAAUUCUCUUCAAGGCAACUGCUUUCCGAGGCCGCAUCCUGUAAGUGUAACCUGCAUUUCUGGUUUCAGAUGCCUUACCUUGCAUUUGACUUUUUAAAUCUUAAAUCAAGUUUUCCUGGACUGCGGCCAACUCUCAGCCACUUCAGAUUGCUGUGUACUGAUAGUCUUGUUGUUUCCCUACUGCCAGUCUUGCUGGCAUCUGCAGACUUGGCCACAAUAAGGAUUUUUAUAGUGUCAUGUAGAUCGCUGAUAAAAAAUACAGAAUGAAAAAUGGUAAUAGGAUUUUCACUCUUCUUUUAUCCCAAAUAUUUUUGCUCAGUGUAAUAUUCUGC
rnacentral:lncRNA from 1 species